rnacentral:rRNA from 1 species
AGUGAACGCUGGCGGUAGGCCUAACACAUGCAAGUCGAACGGCAGCACAGUAAGAGCUUGCUCUUACGGGUGGCGAGUGGCGGACGGGUGAGGAAUACAUCGGAAUCUACUUUUUCGUGGGGGAUAACGUAGGGAAACUUACGCUAAUACCGCAUACGACCUAUGGGUGAAAGCAGGGGAUCUUCGGACCUUGCGCGAUUGAAUGAGCCGAUGUCGGAUUAGCUAGUUGGCGGGGUACAGGCCCACCAAGGCGACGAUCCGUAGCUGGUCUGAGAGGAUGAUCAGCCACACUGGAACUGAGACACGGUCCAGACUCCUACGGGAGGCAGCAGUGGGGAAUAUUGGACAAUGGGCGCAAGCCUGAUCCAGCCAUACCGCGUGGGUGAAGAAGGCCUUCGGGUUGUAAAGCCCUUUUGUUGGGAAAGAAAAGCAGCAGGUUAAUACCCCGCUGUUCUGACGGUACCCAAAGAAUAAGCACCGGCUAACUUCGUG